rnacentral:rRNA from 1 species
ACCGAAUAGAUACCCCGGUAGUCCACGCCCUAAACUAUGCGAACUGGAUGUUGGGUACAUUACGGUACUCAGUGUCGAAAGCUAAACGCGUCAAGUUCGCCGCCUGGGGAGUACGGUCGCAAGACUGAAACUCAAAGGAAUUGACGGGGGCCCGCACAAGCGGUGGAGUAUGUGGUUUAAUUCGAUGCAACGCGAAGAACCUUACCUGGCCUUGACAUCUGUCGAAUCCUGCAGAGAUGCGGGAGUGCCGCAAGGAACGACAAGACAGGUGCUGCAUGGCUGUCGUCAGCUCGUGUCGUGAGAUGUUGGGUUUAAAGUCCCGCAACGAGCGCAACCCGUUGUCCCUAGUUGCCAGCACAUCAUGGUGGGAACUCUAGGGAGACUGCCGGUGAC